AAACCAGCACCUCAAGUGGUCAGGAUGAUUAUUGGGCCUAAAGCAUCCGUAGCCGGCUCUGUAAGUUUUCGGUUAAAUCUGUACGCUUAACGUACAGGCCGCUGGGAAUACUGCAGAGCUAGGGAGUGGGAGAGGUAGACGGUACUCGGGAGGAAGUGGUAAAAUGCUUUGAUCUCUCGAUGACCACCUGUGGCGAAGGCGGUCUACCAGAACACGUCCGACGGUGAGGGAUGAAAGCUGGGGGAGCAAACCGGAUUAGAAACCCGGGUAGUCC
rnacentral:rRNA from 1 species